rnacentral:piRNA from 1 species
UCCAGAACAAUCAGUCCAUAGAAUCCUUC